AGCCACCGAACCCCCUCACUGUAGGGGUCAAGCAUUCAGUGUCUCUGGUCUGCACUGGCUGUGGACUCUAAGUUGCAAACAGAGACGGAGCAAAUCUCCAGGACCAGGGCCACAGACCCCUAGACUAGCUCCAUGCAGAGGAACUCAUCUGCUGGCUGUUAGGAGAAAAGCAAGGUGGAGGUGGCCAUAAAUAUCGAGGACUCAUGGGAAAUAAAAAAAGAGCCGUGCCAGCAAGCAUUACAAUGCUUCUUGAAUACAUCACUGUUUCUCGUGCUUAUCAUUACGAUCUGGAGGCUCAUUUAAAAAACAUGGAAACCCGCUAAAUGUAAAGAAAAGCUGAAGUCGGGCCAAAAGAAAGAGGGAAAAUGAGCUGUGAGAAUAUUGUACCUCAGUAAACAAAAAAUAAAAAACUUGCAUUUCCCUAG